UACGAAGGGGGCUAGCGUUGUUCGGAAUCACUGGGCGUAAAGCGCGUGUAGGCGGCUCGGUAAGUCUGCUCUGAAAGUCAAAGGCUCAACCUUUGAAAGCCGAUGGAUACUGCAGGGCUAGAGUCCGGAAGAGGCGAGUGGAAUUCCUGGUGUAGCGGUGGAAUGCGCAGAUAUCAGGAGGAACACCAAUAGCGAAGGCAGCUCGCUGGGACGGUACUGACGCUAAGGCGCGAAAGCGUGGGGAGCGAACAGG
rnacentral:rRNA from 1 species